rnacentral:rRNA from 1 species
UAGUAACGGCGAGUGAAGCGGGAUGAGCUCAAGCUUAAAAUCUCCGUGCAAAUUUUGCAUGGCGAAUUGUAGUCUAUAGAGGCGUGAUUAGCAUAGGCACUUGGGGCAAGUUCCUUGGAAGAGGACAGCAUCGAGGGUGAUACUCCCGUUUAUCUCCGAGUUGCUUAUGCGUACAAUCCGUUUUCUUUGAGUCGCGUUGUUUGAGAAUGCAGCGCAAAGUAGGUGGUAAAUUCCAUCUAAAGCUAAAUAUUGGUGCGAGACCGAUAGCAAACAAGUACCGUGAGGGAAAGAUGAAAAGAACUUUGAAAAGAGAGUUAAAGAGUACCUGAAACUGCUGAAAGGGAACCAAAUCGUUUCCAGUGUCUAUAAUCCGUGGUAUAUUUCAUUGGCGAAUGUGUGCGUGCGUGUACUAUGGCAGCGGCUUUUUGCUGCGCCUUGUGUAUGUGUGCACUUUCUCGCUGAUGCCCUGUACCGUGGUGGGACGUCAAUGUCGGUUCGUAAAUUGCGGGAAAUGACUGCCGAGGAGGUAGGGCGAACGCUUGCGUUUGUCUGUUAUAUCUUGGCGGACGUAGUAGUCGCGGUUGGGACUGAGGUGCCUACAAUGUGCUUAUGAGUAGAAUUGAUUCUCUGUGUGCGCCGUGUGCGGAUAGCUUGCUAUGCGUGUGUGGCUGCGUGUGGAU